rnacentral:rRNA from 1 species
GACGAACGCUGGCGGCGUGCCUAAUACAUGCAAGUCGAACGCUGAAGGAGGAGCUUGCUCUUCUGGAUGAGUUGCGAACGGGUGAGUAACGCGUAGGUAACCUGCCUGGUAGCGGGGGAUAACUAUUGGAAACGAUAGCUAAUACCGCAUAAGAGUAGAUGUUGCAUGACAUUUGCUUAAAAGGUGCAAUUGCAUCACUACCAGAUGGACCUGCGUUGUAUUAGCUAGUUGGUGGGGUAACGGCUCACCAAGGCGACGAUACAUAGCCGACCUGAGAGGGUGAUCGGCCACACUGGGACUGAGACACGGCCCAGACUCCUACGGGAGGCAGCAGUAGGGAAUCUUCGGCAAUGGACGGAAGUCUGACCGAGCAACGCCGCGGGAGUGAAGAAGGUUUUCGGAUCGGAAAGCUCUGUUGUAAGAGAAGAACGAGUGUGAGAGUGGAAAGUUCACACUGUGACGGUAGCUUACCAGAAAGGGACGGCUAACUACGUG